GCUCACAUCUUCCUCUCUCCUUGCCACGGCUGGAAAAAUAGUUUAUGCUGAUUUAAACAUUCCUGGAGCCAGUUCCUCUUCGAGGCCACCAAAACAAUCUCGGAACCUCAGUUCCCCUCCAUGUCCCCGGUGGCAUCGCAUCGCUGUAGGGACCGGAUGGGCUGGGAACAUCGUCCUGACAGUAGCUGUGAUAGCGCUGGGAGUUUGGGUUUCCCAGUUGCGUGUCUCUGGUGAAAGACAAUGCAGAGGAGCUCCGAAUACAUCUGAUAAGAAUGAGACUGGAAUCAUCAAUUGUACUGAAGGCAGCUCCAGCCUGGAGGAUUUCCGGUCUCAAUUGAAAUCCAUUCUAUGUGACCCCCAACAUGUCAGCUUGGCAGGUAACCGCACUCCUACUGCCCCAGAGCCGUGAGUCACUCUCCCUUAAAGAUUUUGCAGCACUGUCGCUGUGACUGAAACCAGCCACCAUAGGAAAGAGACCCUGAGCCUGAAAUACAAUGGACCAAAUUCUCAUUUAGCCAGACCCUCUAUCUACAUUACUCCAGUUCUGUGAUUCCCCAAGCAUUCACAAACCAUGAGUGAGGCCCUAAAAAGCCUGAAAUUGGUUUAUUUUAGGAAUAUUAUACAGUUUGGGUUGUUUCUAUUUGCUGUCUAGUGAGCCACUUGGGUCCUGCAGUCAAGUUUUUCUCUAUAAUGAUGCGGCUAGGAGCUUUCCUUUGUGAAACUGAGAGUCUCACCUAAUCCUCUGGCUCCAGGGGCUUAAAAAAAACAGCAAAAUUCACAGGACAUGUAAUAAAAGCAUGACAGAUGUACAUGAUGCUAAUGUGACACUAUGAAGGGGGGGUCAUGAUAGGAGUAAACUUCCAUUUGUAAGUCAAAGUGUUCAGGAGACAGAAGGUUAUUCCAACAAAACCUGGAAACGUUCCAAUGCAAAAAGUGUUCUGUGAAGAAUUUCUUUUUGGAAAAAAAGGCAAUUUGUCUUUUUGCUAGUCAGCUCCCCUCAUAACUGCAGCAGGAAAACAAUGAUCAGACAGCAGAGUGAUUUUUGUAAGUUGAUGUGAAGACUAUAAUACACUAUAUUACUCUUGGUGCAGUAGCAGUGAUGUACUUGUCAGCAGACGGUCAGGGCUCCCUAUAUCUGUCCCUUAAUGACAGGCUGAAGUUCUUUUAAA